rnacentral:rRNA from 1 species
GUCACGCUGUAAACGAUGUCGAUUUGGAGUUUGUUGCCUAGAGUGAUGGGCUCCGAAGCUAACGCGAUAAAUCGACCGCCUGGGGAGUACGGCCGCAAGGUUAAAACUCAAAUGAAUUGACGGGGGCCCGCACAAGCGGUGGAGCAUGUGGUUUAAUUCGAUGCAACGCGAAGAACCUUACCUGGUCCUGACAUCCAUAGAAUUCUGCAGAGGUGUGGGAGUGCCUUCGGGAACUAUGAGACAGGUGCUGCAUGGCUGUCGUCAGCUCGUGUUGUGAAAUGUUGGGUUAAGUCCCGCAACGAGCGCAACCCUUAUUCUUUGUUGCCAGCGAUUUGGUCGGGAACUCAAAGGAGACUGCCGUUGAUAAAGCGGAGGAAGGUGGGGACGACGUCAAGUCAUCAUGGCCCUUACGACCAGGGCUACACACGUGCUACAAUGGCGUGUACAAAGGGAAGCGAAGGUGCGAGCUGGAGCGGAUCUCAUAAAGUACGUCUAAGUUCGGAUUGGAGUCUGCAACUCGACUCCAUGAAGUCGGAAUCGCUAGUAAUCGUAGAUCAGAAUGCUACGGUGAAUACGUUCCCGGGCCUUGUACACACCGCCCGUCACACCAUGGGAGUGGGUUGCACCAGAAGUAGAUAGCUUAACCGCGAGGGGGGCGUUUACCACGGUGUGAUUCAUGACUGGGGUGAAGUCGUAACAAGGUAACCA